rnacentral:rRNA from 1 species
UGGGGAAUUUUGGACAAUGGGCGAAAGCCUGAUCCAGCAAUGCCGCGUGUGUGAAGAAGGCCUUCGGGUUGUAAAGCACUUUUGUCCGGAAAGAAAUCCUUGGCUCUAAUACAGUCGGGGGAUGACGGUACCGGAAGAAUAAGCACCGGCUAACUACGUGCCAGCAGCCGCGGUAAUACGUAGGGUGCAAGCGUUAAUCGGAAUUACUGGGCGUAAAGCGUGCGCAGGCGGUUUGCUAAGACCGAUGUGAAAUCCCCGGGCUCAACCUGGGAACUGCAUUGGUGACUGGCAGGCUAGAGUAUGGCAGAGGGGGGUAGAAUUCCACGUGUAGCAGUGAAAUGCGUAGAGAUGUGGAGGAAUACCGAUGGCGAAGGCGAGCCCCCUGGGCCAAUACUGACGCUCAUGCACGAAAGCGUGGGGGAGCAAAACAGGAUUAGAUACCCUGGUAGUCCACGCCCUAAAACGAUGUCAACUAGUUGUUGGGGAUUCAUUUCCUUAGUAACGUAGCUAACGCGUGAAGUUGACCGCCUGGGGAGUACGGUCGCAAAGAUUAAAACUUAAAUGAAUUGACGGGGUCAUAGCUGUUUCCU